rnacentral:rRNA from 1 species
UACAGAGGUCUCAAGCGUUGUUCGGAUUCAUUGGGCGUAAAGGGUGCGUAGGCGGCGGUGCAAGUCCGAUGUGAAAUACCGGGGCUCAACCCCGGAACUGCAUUGGAUACUGCAUUGCUAGAGUACUGGAGAGGGAACUGGAAUUUACGGUGUAGCAGUGAAAUGCGUAGAGAUCGUAAGGAAGACCAGUGGCGAAGGCGAGUUCCUGGACAGUUACUGACGCUGAGGCACGAAAGCGUGGGGAGCAAACAGG